rnacentral:rRNA from 1 species
CCUACGGGAGGCUGCAGUGGGGAAUAUUGGACAAUGGGGGCAACCCUGAUCCAGCCAUGCCGCGUGUGUGAAGAAGGCCCUCGGGUUGUAAAGCACUUUCAGUGAGGAAGAACGCCUGGUGGUUAAUACCCAUCAGGAAAGACAUCACUCACAGAAGAAGCACCGGCUAACUCCGUGCCAGCAGCCGCGGUAAUACGGAGGGUGCGAGCGUUAAUCGGAAUUACUGGGCGUAAAGCGCGCGUAGGUGGCUUGAUAAGCCGGUUGUGAAAGCCCGGGGCUCAACCUGGGAACGGCAUCCGGAACUGUCAAGCUAGAGUGCAGGAGAGGAAGGUAGAAUUCCCGGUGUAGCGGUGAAAUGCGUAGAGAUCGGGAGGAAUACCAGUGGCGAAGGCGGCCUUCUGGACUGACACUGACACUGAGGUGCGAAAGCGUGGGUAGCAAACAGGAUUAGAUACCCCAGUAGUC